rnacentral:rRNA from 1 species
AAAGCUCUGUUGUUUAAAGAAGAACACGUAUGAGAGUAACUGUUCAUACGUUGACGGUAUUUAACCAGAAAGUCACGGCUAACUACGUGCCAGCAGCCGCGGUAAUACGUAGGUGGCAAGCGUUAUCCGGAUUUAUUGGGCGUAAAGAGAGUGCAGGCGGUUUCUAAGUCUGAUGUGAAAGCCUUCGGCUUAACCCGGAGAAGUGCAUCGGAAACUGGAUAACUUGAGUGCAGAAGAGGGUAGUGGGAACUCCAUGUGUAGCGGUGGAAUGCGUAGAUAUAUGGAAGAACACCAGUGGCGAAGGCGGCUACCUGGUCUGCAACUGACGCUGAGACUCGAAAGCAUGGGUAGCGAACAGGAUUAAAUACCCUGGUAG